CCUACGGGUGGCAGCAGUGAGGAAUAUUGGUCAAUGGACGCAAGUCUGAACCAGCCAUGCCGCGUGCAGGAAGACGGCUCUAUGAGUUGUACACUGCUUUUGUACGAGGGUAAACGCAGAUACGCGUAUCUGUCUGAAAGUAUCGUACGAAUAAGGAUCGGCUAACUCCGUGCCAGCAGCCGAGGUAAUACGGAGGAUUCAAGCGUUAUCCGGAUUUAUUUGGUUUAAAGGGUGCGUAGGCGGUCGGAUAAGUUAGAUGUGAAAUCCCGAGGCUCAACUUCGGAAUUGCCUCUGAUACUGUUCGGCUAGAGAGUAGUUGCGGUAGGCGGAAUGUAUGGUGUAGCGGUGAAAUGCUUAGAGAUCAUACAGAACACCGAUUGCGAAGGCAGCUUACCAAGCUACUUCUGACGUUGAGGCACGAAAGCGUGGGGAGCAAACAGGAGUAGAUACCCUUGUAGUC
rnacentral:rRNA from 1 species